GUAGUCCACGCCGUAAACGUUGGGCGCUAGGUGUGGGGAACCUUCCACGUUCUCCGUGCCGCAGCUAACGCAUUAAGCGCCCCGCCUGGGGAGUACGGCCGCAAGGCUAAAACUCAAAGGAAUUGACGGGGGCCCGCACAAGCGGCGGAGCAUGUGGCUUAAUUCGACGCAACGCGAAGAACCUUACCAAGGCUUGACAUAUACCGAAAACUGGCAGAGAUGUCAGGUCCGCAAGGGCGGUAUACAGGUGGUGCAUGGUUGUCGUCAGCUCGUGUCGUGAGAUGUUGGGUUAAGUCCGCAACGAGCGCAACCCUCGUUCUAUGUUGCCAGCGCGUUAUGGCGGGGACUCA
rnacentral:rRNA from 1 species